GAUGAACGCUAGCGGCAGGCCUAACACAUGCAAGUCGAGGGGCAGCACGUCUUCGGAUGGUGGCGACCGGCGCACGGGUGCGUAACGCGUAUGCAACCUACCUCUUACAGUGGGAUAGCCCAGAGAAAUUUGGAUUAAUACCGCAUAGUAUGCGACAUCAGCAUUGAUGACGUAUUAAACAUUCAUGGGUAAGAGAUGGGCAUGCGUUCUAUUAGUUAGUUGGAGUGGUAACGGCACCCCAAGACAGCGAUAGAUAGGGCCCGUCGAGAGGGGGAGUCCCCACCACUGGUACGUGAGACACGGACCGACGACUCCUACC
rnacentral:rRNA from 1 species